UCAUGUUCAAUGUCACACCUUCUUUGCCUUGAGGUGAUUUCAUGUGGGAGCUAAAAGAUAAUGUUUUUGUGCAAAUUGGUAAUCGAUCUCCUCAAGGACAUGAUUUAUCGCACAAACCAUUGAGAUACUUGUUCUUUUUGCAGCGUGACAUCUUUACCAAGGUUUGUGUUCAUGACACCAAGAUACACUUAUCUAUGUCCUAGCAUCG
rnacentral:lncRNA from 1 species